AACGAACGCUGGCGGCAUGCCUAACACAUGCAAGUCGAACGAGAUCUUCGGGUCUUGUGGCGCACGGGUGCGUAACGCGUGGGAAUCUGCCCUUUGGUUCGGAAUAACAGUUGGAAACGACUGCUAAUACCGGAUGAUGACGAAAGUCCAAAGAUUUAUCGCCAGAGGAUGAGCCCGCGUAGGAUUAGCUAGUUGGUGUGGUAAAGGCGCACCAAGGCGACGUUCCUUAGCUGGUCUGAGAGGAUGAUCAGCCACACUGGGACUGAGACACGGCCGAGACUCCUACGGGAGGCAGCAGUGGGGAAUAUUGGACAAUGGGCGAAAGCCUGAUCCAGCAAUGCCGCGUGAGUGAUGAAGGCCUUAGGGUUGUAAAGCUCUUUUACCCGGGAUGAUAAUGACAGUACCGGGAGAAUAAGCUCCGGCUAACUCCGUGCCAGCCGCCGCAGUAA
rnacentral:rRNA from 1 species